rnacentral:rRNA from 1 species
GGACGAACGCUGGCGGCGCGCUUAACCCAUGCAAGUCGAACGGAAAGGCCUGCUUUCCCUUGUGGAUUGCGGGUACUCGAGUGGCGAACGGGUGAGUAACACGUGAGUGAUCUGCCCCCAACUUGGGUAUAAGCCUGGGAAACUGGGUCUAAUUCCCGAUAGGACUGCAGGGUGGUGCCUGUGGUGGAAAACGAUUUUCUAGUGGUUGGGGAUGAGCUCGCGGCCUAUCAGCUUGUUGGUGGGGUAAUGGCCUACCAAGGCGGCGACGGGUAGCCGGCCUGAGAGGGUGGACGGCCACAUUGGGACUGAGAUACGGCCCAGACUCCUACGGGAGGCAGCAGUGGGGAAUAUUGCACAAUGGGCGGAAGCCUGAUGCAGCGACGCCGCGUGGGGGAUGACGGCCUUCGGGUUGUAAACUCCUUUCGACCGCGAGGAAGCCACCUGGUUGGAAGGGUGGUGACGGUAGUGGUAGAAGAAGCACCGGCUAACUACGUG